rnacentral:rRNA from 1 species
AUUAGAUAGUUGGCGGGGUAAUGGCCCACCAAGUCGACGAUGGGUAGCUUUUCUGAGAGGACGAUCAGCCACACUGGAACUGAGUCACGGUCCAGACUUCUACGGAAGGCAGCAGUGAGGAAUAUUGCUCAAUGGGCGAAAGCCUGAAGCAGCGACGCCGCGUGAGGGAUGAAAUCCGUUAGGAUGUAAACGGCCAACUACGUGCCAGCAGCCGCGGUAAUACGUAGGGUGCAAGCGUUGUCAAUUACUGGGUGUAAAGGGUCCGCAGUCGGGGACAAGUCGGUGGUGAAAGCUCACGGCUCAACCGUGAGAUUGCCUUCGAUACUGUCUGUCUUGAGUUCGAGAGACGAUGACGGAAUUCAUGGUGUAGCGGUGAAAUGCGUAGAGAUCAUGAAGAACACCAGUAGCCAAGGCGGUCAUCUGGCUCGAUACUGACGCUCAGGGGUUAAAGCGUGGGUAGCAAACAGGAUUAGAUACCCUGGUAGUCCACGCCUUAAACGAUGGAUAUUCGGUGUCGGUCCGCAAGGAUCGGUGCCUGAGCCAACGCGUUAAAUAUCCCA